GUCUAUUUAUAUGGAAACCCAUGUUGUGCUGUUGUUGGCUCUUUAAAGGAGAACUGAGCAGGAGCCUCUCUGUUGUCCAGAAGAUUCAGACACUACAGUUUGUGCAAAGGCUCCCUAGAGUACUGAAAUAACGAUGCUCUUCCUUUCCUCAUCCCCAGGGAGGUCUGCACUGAUGGUAUUCACAGAAUAACUACAGCAUUUGUAGAUACUUGGUUUGAAAAUGAAAUAAUUACAGAGAAAUUGAGACUAAUUUUCAAACAAUGUCACAUCUCUGUCAAGUACAACUUAGAGCUCAGCAAGAUCCUGGCAGGCUUUCCAGAUUCUGGACAGAGGAGGGAAGGAAGGAAGGAAGGAAGGAAGGACAGCCCUGUGGAUAAGAAAAUGUAUUGGAAGUCAAGAUGCAGCCUCUUUUUCCAACUCUCUCUUGGGAUUUUGUUUUUAUGGAGGACUGGGCUAUCCUAUGCACCUCUUUGUGUGGUUUCACAAUCAGAAAGCUGAUGCAGCUGAAAACCAAGCUGUAUUUUCUACUGGAUGGAGCCCCUGAUCACCAACGCACAAAGACACCAGUGUCAGUACCAGGAGAGUGCAGGACCACCCUUUCUGAUCACAGCCCAUUAGGAAACCACGACCUUCAUGCAGAGCUUGAGCCUGCAGACUUGCAACAGCCACAUGCUUCUCCAUCGCAUGGAGCAAAGGUGUAUUUUGUGUGAGCAUUUAUGACCUAAACUGGGCUGAUUCAUCCAUGAGCCACUCCUGUGUGAAGCAGAGGUCAUACAGUGCUGGAUCCUGCCCUCCAGUCUCUACUCCUGUAUAAGAUAUAAAUAGUUAUUAAGCCUAAAAAUGUUUACAGUUUUUUCUAUACCUGAAAAGAAACUAGGUUAGGGAGUAGAAAAGCACUUUUCUAAAUCUAGCUUUCCCCUAAGGAGAGAGGAAGGUGAACUUUCUGUUCAUAGACAAUACAUGUAAAGGGUUUUCAUCAGUGGAUGUAUCUCAUCCUUGUGUUGCAUUGUUACUUGAUGAAAACAAUGUGCUGGUGAGAUCUCUUAAUGUUUGCCACAGGAUUAUGAUUUUAGGGGCGUGCUGAGAUAACUAGGAUAAGAUGGAGACAGAGGCCUUGCAAGGUUUGUACAGAGACAACCAAUAUGUUUAGAUUGCAAAUGUUGGGCACAGUGUUUCUUGUUGCAUUUUCACUUGAGAAUCUUUCCACAGUACAUGGCUAGGAUCCAGGGUGAAUAAACUGAAUUUUACAGUUUCUAGCA
rnacentral:lncRNA from 1 species